rnacentral:misc_RNA from 1 species
UCUCCGUUGGUGAACCAGCGGAGGGAUCAUUACCGAGUUCUCGCAACUCCCAACCCUUGCCAACCGUACCCCAUUCUGUUCCCGUUGCUUCUGGCGGGCCGGCCGGGGGGCCCUCUCGCAGCCCCCCCCACCCCCCGGCAGGGGCGGCUAGCCCGCUGUACCUUUUAAAAAUCAACCACUGAACCCGUUUGAGCAAAAACAAAAAUGAAUCAAAACUUUCAGCAACGGAUCUCUUGGUUCUG